UGAGGAAUAUUGGUCAAUGGGCGAGAGCCUGAACCAGCCAAGUCGCGUGAAGGAAGACAGUCCUAAGGAUUGUAAACUUCUUUUAUACGGGAAUAACGGGCGAUACGAGUAUUGCAUUGAAUGUACCGUAAGAAUAAGCAUCGGCUAACUCCGUGCCAGCAGCCGCGGUAAUACGGAGGAUGCGAGCGUUAUCCGGAUUUAUUGGGUUUAAAGGGUGCGUAGGUUGUUCGGUAAGUCAGCGGUGAAACCUGAGCGCUCAACGUUCAGCCUGCCGUUGAAACUGCCGGGCUUGAGUUCAGUGGCGGCAGGCGGAAUUCGUGGUGUAGCGGUGAAAUGCAUAGAUAUCAGGAGGAACACCGAUGGCGAAGGCAGGUCACUGGGCCGUUACUGACACUGAGGAGCGAAAGCGUGGGGAGCGAACAGG
rnacentral:rRNA from 1 species